UACGUAGGGUGCAAGCGUUAAUCGGAAUUACUGGGCGUAAAGGGCGCGCAGGCGGCUCUGAAAGUCAGAUGUGAAAGCCCCGGGCUUAACCUGGGAAUUGCAUUUGAUACUCUGGAGCUUGAGUACGGGAGAGGAGAGUGGAAUUCCCAGUGUAGAGGUGAAAUUCGUAGAUAUUGGGAAGAACACCGGUGGCGAAGGCGGCUCUCUGGACCGUAACUGACGCUGAGGCGCGAAAGCGUGGGGAGCAAACAGG
rnacentral:rRNA from 1 species